rnacentral:rRNA from 1 species
UGUGGGAUAACAGUCCGAAAGGAUUGCUAAUACCGCAUGUGGUCGCUGAGUUUAGAAGUUAUUCCUCUAAAGCAGCAAUGCGCUUUGGGAGGGACCUGCGUCCCAUCAGCUAGUUGGUAAGGUAACGGCUUACCAAGGCGACGACGGGUAGGGGACCUGAGAGGGUGGCCCCCCACAAUGGAACUGAAACACGGUCCAUACACCUACGGGUGGCAGCAGUAGGGAAUAUUGCACAAUGGGCGAAAGCCUGAUGCAGCAACGCCGCGUGCGCGAAGAAGGUCUUCGGAUCGUAAAGCGCUUUAACUUUUGAGAUGAGAUAGGACAGUAUCCCAGGAAUAAGUCUCGGCUAACUACGUGCCAGCAGCCGCGGUAACACGUAGGAGGCGAGCGUUAUCCGGAUUCACUGGGCGUAAAGCGCGUGCAGGCGGUUCGGUAAGUUGGGCGUGAAAUCUCCCGGCUCAACUGGGAGAGGCCGUUCAAUACUACCGGACUUGAGAGCGAUAGAGGAAAAUGGAAUUCCCGGUGUAGUGGUGAAAUGCGUAGAUAUCGGGAGGAACACCAGUGGCGAAAGCGAUUUUCUGGAUCGUUUCUGACGCUCA